UCAAGAUGAGAUUUGGGUAGGGAUACAGCCAAACCAUAUCAUAGGGGAUGUCCCUCUCCUAUUAACAUUUUUUAAAAUUAAGCCCUUAGUGAAUCCACUAUCCUGAAGUUCUUCCAUCCUACUGUUCUCAAAGCAGACACUAAAACUAAGGCUUAAAUGCAAAUGGUUUAUUUUGGUCUGUGAUUGGGAAUUAAAGGAAAAAGGAGUGAAGGUAACCAGGAGGCACUCUGGAAUUGAGUUGAUGCCACUGUGAACAACUGGGCUUGGAUUCUACUGGGCACUUCUGAGAUGCUCUUAAAAAUGCACCUCAGAAUUGUCUGCUCAACUUCACUGCAGGAAGGGAGGAUUAGCUCUUGGGCUCCCCUUCUCCAUUUAAUAAAUUUUGCCUCACCGGGCAUUAGCUCCCUCAUAAGCCCAAGUUGCACAAGGGCCAGAGGUAAAAGGCAUACAAUGCAGCUGAAGUGAAGUGCCACCACAUAACACUUGUGCAAAACUGGUGGCUGUGGCAAAAAUUAAAGAAAAGGUGAUCCAUGCAGAUGUGAGCAGGGGACAAGAGUGUCUUACAUAGCCUGCUAUACUUGGAGAGAACAGAAAAUGUAUCAUAAUGCUCCAGCCAUUUCAUUUGAGUCUCAUGCUGAACAAACCUGCUUCCUCAGCACAGUGAAUGAACUCUCAGCUCUGCUAUAUUUGCUAUUUUAAUACUUGAGAUAUGCUUCUUCUAUGGAAGAUCCACAUGUAUUGACUCUCCCUCUAUAGGAUGAACACUUACAUAUUUUGACAGUUAAUGAUAGGUGUCAACUUGGCUGGAUCAAGGAAUGUCUAGAAACCUGGUACAGACUUCUUCUGGGGUCUGUCUGUGAGGGUGUUUUCCCGAGAAGAUUUACAUGUGAGUUUGAGUGGACUAAGCAGGAAGAUCUGCCCUCAGUGUGGGCAGGCAUCAUCCAAUCUACUGGGGAUCCAAAGAGAACAAAAAUAGAGAAUAGGUGUAUGUGUCAAUCUAUCUGCUACAACAAGAAUACACUCUUUCUCUCCUGUCCUUGGACAAAUCUGGGCUCCCCAGCCUUUGGACUUAAGAUUUGAACUCCAAAACUUAAGACCAGUGUCCUCCCAGGUUCUCACACCUUUGGCCUCAGACCCUGAGUUACACCAUCUGUUUUCCUGGUUCCAGGCCUUUGGACUUAGACUGAGUCAAGCUACUGGCAUCUCAGGGUCUCCAGAUUGCAGGUGACCUGUCAUGGGACUUCUCAGCCUCUAUAAUCACAUAAACCAAUCCCCUCAUAAUUCCUGUCUCAUAUAUUUCUAUCUAAUCCUAUUGAUUCUGUCCCUCUGGAAAACCCUGACUGUAUCAGUGUUGAUUUAUAAUUUUUUAAAAUAGUCGCAGAAAUUCAUUUGGGAGAGUAAUUUUUGAUAUCCUCUUAAAAAGUAGGGAACUGAGAUCAAAUAACUUGUCCAAAGUUCCUUUGUAACUUUGCCCUUAGUGUCAAUAUAGUCAGCCCUCCAUAUCUGCAUAUUCAACCAACACUGAAGUAGCUUUAUUGAGUACAAAUGUUCCUUUUACAUUUUUUAAGCACUUGGAAGUUCUCUGAAAAAAAUAAAUAAAUCUGCUAAAAACACAAAUUUUUAUUGGCUUAAAGUAAAUUUUGGUUUUUUGAUUACAUUUUACUAAAAAAAGAUGCCAAAAUAUACUAAUCCUGAAAGAAGAUCUGAUGAGAGAAAAAUAACCAAUAAACUUAAGUCUGCAGCCAUUCUAAGGGCAUUCUGCUACUUUUACUUCCAAGACAAGAAUGAUUUAUCAUUAAAUAUAGUUGAAACUUUAUGGUCUUAUUUGGCUGUUUACCUCACUCACAAAAAUAACUGCCCUAUACAUGACUGUAUUUCAUUGUCCUAAUCUGGUUUCAUGUUUUUUGUUGUUAUUAUUUAGUGUAAAAACUGAAUGCUAACCCAUGUUCAUAUGUGCAUUUUUAAAAGCUAUACCUGUUGAAAUGUUGGAUAUUUUCACUAGCUCUCUUUUAGUCAUAUUAGCCUGUAAAAGUUUAUUGAAGACUAUUCAAUUACUGUACAUUGUUUCCUGCAAAAAAAAGUAUUGAAUUUUUUUCUGACCUCCCUUACUGAGAAUAAUGAAGACCUAGGAGAAUAAGGUACUUAUAUUUCAAAGUCUCUUAAAGUUAUUGCAUUUAUUUUCUUUCACAAAACAAAAGAAAGCAGGAAAGCAAAACCUAGUUUAAAUGAGUUGUUUUAACUAACUACUUCUUGACAGCUAAGAAAAAUUUCUUCCCAGUUGCCUUCUUUCCAACGUACACCAUCUAAUUCUUUCAUAGACAGUAAGAACACAUGGAGAGUGGGGAAGAAUGUAGCUUGCAGAAUUUAGUGAUUUAAUUGGUGGCCUUCUCAAGGGGUGCUACUGGAAUUUAGGCAGUUUCUACCAAAGUCACCCAAAACCGAACUUGAACUGGCUGCAUGAAGUUUUCCUACAUGUUUGUCAUCAAGAGUUCAAGCCGCUGCAGCACUUAGAGACCUGACCAUUCUACUGAAGAAAAGAAAUACUAUAGUAAACUCUAGUUGGUUGUGAAAUGAAUGUUUUCAAUUGCUAGAAGCUAAUGAUAAAAUUUUUCUAGUAAUACAUUGAUUUUUACAUUUACAGAUUUCCAUAGGAUUGACAAAGAUGCCUCUUCAUUUUUGAGAAAAGUCCCUUCAUUGCAAUAUUUUAUGAAAAGUUCUAUGUGUAACUAUUUGGUACAAAGUGUAAAUUUAGGUCUUCUUAAAAUGACUCUACCCUUAAAUAAUUUUGUUUUCAAGGGUCACGUCUCUUGGGUAAUGACUAACGUUCUCCUAGUGAUUAGUAAUAACAAUUAUGUAGAAUGGUGAUUCUUGGUGACUUUCUGUCCCACUGAAUGAAACAACAUAUUUCAAAAUCAAGACUCUGGGACAUUUGGUUCUUCUAAGUCACAUUUUUUCCCCAGUAUAUAAAGUCAAAUUUUUAUGUAAUUUUAUAUAAAUCACUUUUAAAUAAAAAAAAUUAAUAAAAUAUCAACAAGAAUAAUUGCUUAUUAGUGU
rnacentral:lncRNA from 1 species